GUAGUACAAGCUGUUAUAGGGACACGGCAAGCAACAUGCAAUAGGGUUCGAUUCCGGAGAGGGAGCCUGAGCUAAAUCUACCACAUCCAGGAAGGCAGCAGGCGCGCAAAUUACCCAAUCCCAACACGGGGAGGUAGUGACAAUAUGUAACAAUAUACGGCCUUAUCCGUCUUAAAAUUGAAAUGAGUACAAUUUAAAUCCCUUAACAAGAAACAAUUGGAGGGCAAUUCUGGGGCCGCCACCCCCGGUAAUUCCGCCUCCAAUAGCGUAAUUAAAAUUUGUUGCAUUUAAAAACCUCGAAUUUGGACCUGGGACCUGGACGGGCGGUCCCCCCCAGGGCAAGACCGGUCUGGCUGGGCCUUUCCCCUGGGUGAUCUUUUGUUUCGGCGCCGGGGAACCAGGACCUUUACUUUAAAAAAAUUAAAGUGUUCAAAGCAGGCUCAACCCCGAAUUAUUUUAACCAGGGAAUAAUAAAAUAGGACUUGCGGUUCUUUUUUUUUGGUUUUUGAAUUCCCCGUAUUAAUAAAAAGGGACAGUCGGGGCCAUUAUUACUCAAAUGCUUAAAGUUGAAAUCUCUUGAAUUUUUUUAAAAACAAAUUCCUGCAAAACCUUUUCCCCAGGAAUGUUUUUCUUUUAAUCAGGAACGAAAGGGUAGGGGGUAUCGAAACCCAUAAGAUACGGUUUGUUAUUUCUUAAACAGUUAACUAAUUCCCCAACAAAGAGAAUCGGGUCGAAUGUUUAUUCUUUUUUUGACCUCCGUGUGGGGCACCACUAAAAGGGAAAACCCAAAGGUGUUUGGUGUGAUAUAUCAAAAGGU
rnacentral:rRNA from 1 species